GUGCCAGCCGCCGCGGUAAUACGUAGGUGGCAAGCGUUGUCCGGAUUUAUUGGGCGUAAAGCGAGCGCAGGCGGUUUUUUAAGUCUGAUGUGAAAGCCUUCGGCUCAACCGAAGAAGUGCAUCGGAAACUGGGAAACUUGAGUGCAGAAGAGGACAGUGGAACUCCAUGUGUAGCGGUGAAAUGCGUAGAUAUAUGGAAGAACACCAGUGGCGAAGGCGGCUGUCUGGUCUGUAACUGACGCUGAGGCUCGAAAGUAUGGGUAGCAAACAGGAUUAGAUACCCUGGUAGUCCAUACCGUAAACGAUGAAUGCUAAGUGUUGGAGGGUUUCCGCCCUUCAGUGCUGCAGCUAACGCAUUAAGCAUUCCGCCUGGGGAGUACGGCCGCAAGGCUGAAACUCAAAGGAAUUGACGGGGGCCCGCACAAGCGGUGGAGCAUGUGGUUUAAUUCGAAGCUACGCGAAGAACCUUACCAGGUCUUGACAUACUAUGCAAAUCUAAGAGAUUAGACGUUCCCUUCGGGGACAUGGAUACAGGUGGUGCAUGGUUGUCGUCAGCUCGUGUCGUGAGAUGUUGGGUUAAGUCCCGCAACGAGCGCAACCCUUAUUAUCAGUUGCCAGCAUUAAGUUGGGCACUCUGGUGAGACUGCCGGUGACAAACCGGAGGAAGGUGGGGAUGACGUCAAAUCAUCAUGCCCCUUAUGACCUGGGCUACACACGUGCUACAAUGGAUGGUACAACGAGUUGCGAACUCGCGAGAGUAAGCUAAUCUCUUAAAGCCAUUCUCAGUUCGGAUUGUAGGCUGCAACUCGCCUACAUGAAGUCGGAAUCGCUAGUAAUCGCGGAUCAGCAUGCCGCGGUGAAUACGUUCCCGGGCCUUGUACACACCGCCCGU
rnacentral:rRNA from 1 species